ACAUCUGUAUCUUAGGGGGCUCGCCCCUGAUUAUAAUUAAAACUGAUACACAGUGUCUUUCUGACAUCACAAAAUUUUGCUACAAAAACAAAAUACAAAUGAUAUAGUAAAAUGUAAAAACAAAAAUCUCAAGCAAGCCAGAAAAAAGAACACAAAGAUUUCUUUUCGUUUUCAUCGGCGGCGCGGCUAGCAACGACCGUCUUUAAUUUGUUGUUCGAUUGCAUCAGGCACACCAUAUGAGAUGUCAGACAUCGUAUAUAGUACGUCUAUCCGGCUUAGCUACUGACGGUUAAAGUUAUUUGGUUCUGAUUGCCCUUAACAAUAUAGUUUUCAGUGACUUUGAAGAAUUAGAACCAUCCUCAAUCAUUUUUUAAGUAAAAACGUAGCAAUUAAAAAUAAUGUGCAGUAUAAACGUCAGUGCGAUUCGUAUAUCUACCAGUAGAGGGCCGUAUAUCAGUAUAGAAUAUAUUUGCCCCCAACAACUGAGGAUCCUAAAGCUGUCAUUUGUAACCUACAUGCCUAUAAAUUGACGUACCAAUCGAGACUUAUGUUUGAUUAAAAUAAUACCAAUUCACCGUUGACAGUGUUUGCAAAAUACGUAUUAAAAAAGGCUGUUUUAAGCUGAAUAAGAAGAAGUUGAAAAUGUGAAACUGUGUUUAAAUUUGUUUGGAAAGCAAAGAGUCUGAUACGACCGUUUUAAUUGAAGAAAAUUAUCCAAAUGACGUUCGUGAGAAAGCUGUGAAAAAUAUAAAAAAUUGUUGGGCAAAUUGAAGGUAAGAACUUAAGAAUGUUCAAAGCAGUCAGAAGUCAGGUGCUGAAGUGGAUGAUAUUUAUGAACCGUCGUCAACGCUUUCGAAUGUUUAUAUGACCGUGUAUCAAAUUCUUAGCGGAGAGAUAGUUGUCAAGAAUUUUUAAACUUUCUUCAGUAAAAUAUAAGUUUGCGUAGUUAUUUUGUUUCGUAAAUGGCGAGCCUUAGGAUUGGCCAAUCAUCUUAUCGAACAACGCUUUCAAAUUGUGGGAAUUUGUUUUAAUAAUAAAUGAACUAAAAAUGUUCAAUGAUUAAAGCUCAUUUCUGUUACACCGCUUCGUCAAUGACAUUCUCAAGACAUUAACGAAUCGAUAUUGCAUUUACAACCAUUAAAAUUAAUUGUUGGUUCGGUCACUGAUUGUUUGCUUCAAAAAGUUAUUCAGCCAACUAUCGACUAGAUUCAAUACCAACAAGACGGUUCAGUUUUUGAAGCAGCAGUUUUUAUGACAAUAAUUACUCUUGGAAGAUUUGUGAAUUCCUCGCAAAACUACAUUAACGAUUUGGUGACAACACUAUUUCCAGAACUAACCCUGUAAACAAGCCCAAUUAGCGGCUAAGCGCUUCUCAGUUACUUUGUAUGGGAAUUCGUUAAGUAAUUAGUGUCAAACCACUACAUUUUGAAACAUUAAAAGUCAAUGUUCAUGCCACUAUUGGCGCAAUACUGGCCAAUUUACUGGAAAAAUUGAAAAAU